AACGAACGCUGGCGGCAGGCUUAACACAUGCAAGUCGAACGCAUCCUUCGGGGUGAGUGGCAGACGGGUGAGUAACGCGUGGGAACGUGCCCUUCAGUUCGGGAUAACCCAGGGAAACUUGGGCUAAUACCGGAUACGUGCGAGAGCAGAAAGAUUUAUCGCUGAAGGAUCGGCCCGCGUCUGAUUAGCUAGUUGGUGGGGUAAUGGCCCACCAAGGCGACGGUCAGUAGCUGGUCUGAGAGGAUGAUCAGCCACAUGGGGACUGAGACACGGCCCAAACUCCUACGGGAGGCAGCAGUGGGGAAUAUUGGACAAUGGGCGCAAGCCUGAUCCAGCCAUGCCGCGUGAGUGAUGAAGGCCUUAGGGUUGUAAAGCUCUUUCGUCCGGGACGAUAAUGACGGUACCGGAAGAAGAAGCCCCGGCUAACUUCGUGCCAGCCGCCGCGGUAA
rnacentral:rRNA from 1 species